rnacentral:rRNA from 1 species
AGUGAACGCUGGCGGUAGGCCUAACACAUGCAAGUCGAACGGCAGCACAGUAAGAGCUUGCUCUUACGGGUGGCGAGUGGCGGACGGGUGAGGAAUACAUCGGAAUCUACUUUUUCGUGGGGGAUAACGUAGGGAAACUUACGCUAAUACCGCAUACGACCUACGGGUGAAAGCAGGGGAUCUUCGGACCUUGCGCGAUUGAAUGAGCCGAUGUCGGAUUAGCUAGUUGGCGGGGUAAAGGCCCACCAAGGCGACGAUCCGUAGCUGGUCUGAGAGGAUGAUCAGCCACACUGGAGCUGAGACGCGGUCCAGACUCCUACGGGAGGCAGCAGUGGGGAAUAUUGGGCAAUGGGCGCAAGCCUGGUCCAGCCAUACCGCGUGGGUGAAGAAGGCCUUCGGGUUGUAAAGCCCUUUUGUUGGGAAAGAAAAGCAGCAGGUUAAUACCCCGCUGUUCUGACGGUACCCAAAGAAUAAGCACCGGCUAACUUCGUG